UAACGCGUAUGCAACCUACCCAUAAGAGGGGGAUAACCCGGAGAAAUCCGGACUAAUACCGCAUAAUAAGAUUGAAUGGCAUCAUUUAAUUUUUAAAUAUUUAUAGCUUAUGGAUGGGCAUGCGUCUGAUUAGUUUGUUGGUGAGGUAACGGCUCACCAAGACAACGAUCAGUAGGGGUUCUGAGAGGAAGGUCCCCCACACUGGUACUGAGACACGGACCAGACUCC
rnacentral:rRNA from 1 species